rnacentral:rRNA from 1 species
GAUGAAGCCCACUUGUGGGUGGAUUAGUGGCGAACGGGUGAGUAACACGUGAGUAACCUGCCCUUGACUCUGGGAUAAGCCUGGGAAACUGGGUCUAAUACCGGAUAUGACCUUCCAUCGCAUGGUGGUUGGUGGAAAGCUUUUGUGGUUUUGGAUGGACUCACGGCCUAUCAGCUUGUUGGUGAGGUAAUGGCUUACCAAGGCGACGACGGGUAGCCGGCCUGAGAGGGUGACCGGCCACACUGGGACUGAGACACGGCCCAGACUCCUACGGGAGGCAGCAGUGGGGAAUAUUGCACAAUGGGCGCAAGCCUGAUGCAGCGACGCCGCGUGAGGGAUGACGGCCUUCGGGUUGUAAACCUCUUUCAGUAGGGAAGAAGCCGCAAGGUGACGGUACCUGCAGAAGAAGCGCCGGCUAACUACGUGCCAGCAGCCGCGGUAAUACGUAGGGCGCAAGCGUUAUCCGGAAUUAUUGGGCGUAAAGAGCUCGUAGGCGGUUUGUCGCGUCUGCCGUGAAAGUCCGGGGCUCAACUCCGGAUCUGCGGUGGGUACGGGCAGACUAGAGUGAUGUAGGGGAGACUGGAAUUCCUGGUGUAGCGGUGAAAUGCGCAGAUAUCAGGAGGAACACCGAUGGCGAAGGCAGGUCUCUGGGCAUUAACUGACGCUGAGGAGCGAAAGCAUGGGGAGCGAACAGGAUUAGAUACCCUGGUAGUCCAUGCCGUAUACGUUGGGCACCU